GAGGGGGAUGGUGGCUCUUCUGACAUCUCCAAGACCUCCAGGAAGUUCUGGGGGAGAGGGGGCUUUAGCUUCUUUUUUUUUUUUUUUUUUUUUUAAAGAUAGUCUCGCUCUGUCGCCCAGACUGGAGUGCAGUGGAGUGAUCUUGGCUCACUGCAACCUCCGCCUCUAGGGUUCAAGUGAUUCUCCUGCCUCAGCCUCUCAAGUAGCUGGGAUUACAGGCGCGUGCCACCACACCCGGCUAAUUAUAUAUUUUUAGUAAAGACAGGGUUUCACAAUGUCAGCCAGGCUGGUCUCGAACUCCUGACCUCAGGUGAUCCAUCCGCCAUGGCCUCCCAAAGUGCUGGGAUUACAGGGGUGAGCCACCACACCCGGCCACUUGGGCUGUUUCUUCCAUAAGGCUCUUCUGUAAGGGGUUUUACUCUGUACGAUUUUACUUUCCAGAUUGGCGAGAGACUGAGAAGGCAAGUUUGAGAUCCUGGAGAGAGAACCACUUUGAAGACGGUGAAUUCUGGAGGGAGCCUGGUCUGCAGAGGUGUGUGGCCUCGGUGGAUGGAACUGUUCCUACCUGUGCAUAGGAUUGACUGUUCUUCUUGCUCCUGGUUACUGGAGGCAGCCGCCUGCUGCUUCCCCCAUGGCAGACAUGUGGCUAGGGGUGCAAGUCGGAAGAGUGAGUGGGGCUGCCGCAGGCUUUGCCCAGGCUCCCCUGCACCUGCGGGAAGGCUUCUCCUUGGCGGGUAAGUUUUGCACCAUGAAGCAGCAUGUUCCUGUCUUUCACUGUGUGAUGUAAAAAUCUAUGA
rnacentral:lncRNA from 1 species